UUCUUCCUACGGGGGGCAGCAGUGGGGAAUAUUGCACAAUGGGGGGAACCCUGAUGCAGCGACGCCGCAUGGGUGAAGAAGUCAUUCGUGACGUAAAGCCCUAUCAGCAGGGAAGAAAAUGACGGUACCUGACUAAGAAGCCCCGGCUAACUACGUGCCAGCAGCCGCGGUAAUACGUAGGGGGCAAGCGUUAUCCGGAAUCACUGGGUGUAAAGGGAGCGUAGACGGCUGAGCAAGCCUGAAGUGAAAGGCGGGGGCCCGACCCCCGGACUGCUUUGGGAACUGUACGGCUGGAGGGCAG
rnacentral:rRNA from 1 species